rnacentral:rRNA from 1 species
UACGUAGGGGGCAAGCGUUAUCCGGAUUUACUGGGUGUAAAGGGAGCGUAGGCGGCUUAGUAAGUCAGAAGUGAAAGCCCGGGGCUCAACUCCGGGACUGCUUUUGAAACUGCCGGGCUGGAGUGCAGGAGAGGUAAGCGGAAUUCCUAGUGUAGCGGUGAAAUGCGUAGAUAUUAGGAGGAACACCAGUGGCGAAGGCGGCCUGCUGGACAUUAACUGACGCUGAGGCGCGAAAGCGUGGGGAGCAAAUAGG